UUCUUUUACUCUCAAUCUUACCUUCACGUCUGAUAUGGGUCUAGCCAGUAGUUCUUGUACGAUAUGGCCAUCAUGUUCAAUCUCGAUCGCGCAAUUGGUUUUUGUCAUUUUCCUUUAUCUUCGAUCUCAAUUUCACCAUCGGUGAUUGACAAAAAGAGAUCUGUGGGAGCAAAAGGGAGAGAAGGAAUAGGAAAAAGUAAGAUUUGUCAAAAAGAUGUCUAGAAAUUUUACAAUCAUCAAUAAUCAAAAGGUUUCUUAAUCCUUAAUCAUUACUUGGCUUCUAGUUCAACUUUUGGUGGCAUGACUAAGUAGUAAUUGGGAAGCAUUUGGCUAAACUUUACAAGGAGGAGUAUCCAACUUGGUUUAGGAUUAAUAUAGGAACAAGACAGUAGUUCUUCUUGUACGAUCUGGCCAUCAUGUUCAAUCUUGAUCGCGCCAUUGGUUUUUAUCAUUUUCCUUCACGGUCGACCUCAAUUUUGCAAUUGAUGAUUGAGGAAAAGAGAUCUAUGGAUGCAAAAGGGAGAGAAGGAAUAGGGCAAAGUAAGAUUUAUGAAAAAGAUGUCCAGAAACUUUACAACCAUCUAUAAUCAAAAGGUUUCUUAAUCCUUACUUAAACUCUACCGGGCUUCUAGUUCAACGUUUGGUGGCAUGACUAAGAGUAGUGAUUGGGAAGCGUAUGGCUAAACUCUACAAGGAGGAGUAUCCAACUUGGGUAAGGAUUAAUAUAGGAAAAAGGUUGACCUCAAUUUCACCACUGGUGAUUGACGACAAGAGAUCUAUGGAUGCGAAAGGGAGAGAAGGAAUAGGACAAAGGAAGUUUUUUAAAAAAGAUGUCCGUAAACUCUAGAGCCAUCAAUAAUAAAAAAGGUUUCUUAAUUCUUACUUAGCUUGUGAGUAUAUCUUCUAGUUCUUCACAUUCUCUUUCAAUUCCAUGACUUUUUGAGUUUUAGGGCUCACAUUGUGUGUGUGUGUGUGUGUGUGUAUAAAUAUAUAUGCUAAUAAUUAAUAGUUAGCAUGACUUCCACUGACUUCUUUAAUAUGGUACGAGGCUUCUGGUUGAACUUUUGGCAACGCGACUAAGAGUAGUUAUAGGGAAGCAUCUAACUAAACUCUACAAGGAAGAGUAUCCAACUUGGAUGAGGAUUAAUAUAAGAACAAGUUUGGUAAAAAGGAUUUCAACUAGAGAAGUUAAUAUCUGAAUGAAAUACUAGGGAAAGACAAUCGGAACUUCUUGAAACAAGUCUGUUAUUGCUUUGAUAAGAAUGAUCUCGACAAUGUUGUUGGCUUCUCGAAGGUUCUUUCACGCAUUUUCUCCUCCAUUCUCUUUUUAUGGGCCACUUGCUGCAUCUUCAACAAGGAGGAAGAAAGAAGGAUAGAGGCUUGCUUUUGUGUGUGUCUAUGUGCGUCGAUCUCUGAGGAAGAAAAGUGAUAUCUUUUGUGCAAAAAUGAAAAUAAUAUGAAGAACUAGAGGUGAAGAGAUAUGAUAACGAGCAAAAUUUGUUGGUCACAAUUGGAGGACUACCUGAGCAAUUGGCUACAAUAAAUGGUUGGGGAUUAAACUUCAGAGCAUGAGGAGAUAUUUUAAUUUUCAUUCUGUUUUGCAUGGAAGGAUAAUUAAGGUAUAUUCUUGCAGACCAACUGUAACAUUCCACAUUUUAUUUAAAUGAGUUAAGGCUAAAAACUAUUAUUAGAGCUACUACAGAAUAUAUCUUUAGGAGUGAGUAUUUAGGAGCGCUUCUUUAAAAAGCGCUCUAAAAUGUGAAUGUGGAAUU